GACGAACGCUGGCGGCGUGCCUAAUACAUGCAAGUCGAACGCAGUGGGGACGGGUGAGUAACACGUGGGUAACCUCCCAUCAGAGGGGAUAACACUUGGAAACAGGUGCUAAACCGAUACUGAUGGAUGGACCCGCGGUGCAUUAGCUAGUUGGUGAGGUAACGGCUCACCAAGGCCACGAUGCAUAGCCGACCUGAGAGGUAGAUCGGCCACACUGCGACUGUGACAGGGCCCAGACUCCUACGGUAGGCAGCAGGAGGGAAUCUUCGGUAAUGGUAGAAACGCUGACCGAGCAACGCAGCGUGAGUUAAGAAGCUUUGGGUAUCGUAACUCUCUUUUGUUAGAGAAGCGGUAUCUAACCAGAAAGCCACGGCUAACUACGUGUCAGCAGCCGCGGUAAUUC
rnacentral:rRNA from 1 species